CUGGGCAGAAAUGCCCAAUCGGAGAAGAAGAAGAUGAGAGCGAAUCAGAGGAAGAGAGAGGAAGAAACUGACCAACCAGGGGAAGGAAAGGAGGGAAAGGAGGGUGAGUGGUGCACGGGGGAACAGGAGGAACGGGUCACCCUUGACCCGCGCGACCCAAGCUUCCAAAUCGGCGGGUUUUCGCCAUUUUCGUCCAAUUUUCCGACGAAUUGAAUCAAGGUACCACUCCCAAUCAACAUCUAGACAUUCCCUCUUCACGUUUCACCCCAAGAAUCAUUGAAUUUCAUGGUGAUUUCGCGAAGAACACCCCUACGGGUGCCGCGACCUUUUUGUUUAAAUUCAUCAAAUUUUGAAAUGUUUUCUUGAAAUUACUAACACCAUUAGCAUUCCUUUAGGACCUAGAACAAAGCCCAAGAGGUAAUUGAGGCGUUGGAACAAGUUUGAAGGUCGAAUUGGAAACACCCAAUUCUAGGGUUCUUCACGGUUUUGGUGAAAUUGAAGCACUUCCAGGCCAAAUUGGCCUUGGCCACAGGUAUGAAAGUUGUUCGACUCAUUGAGAUCUUCAAAUCUGCAAAUUUAGGUAAUUUUUGGAAAUAGUUGAAUUUUCCGGCGAGCCGGGGCGGCCAACCGCCACCCGCGGCGGCCCACGCGGCGGCGCGUGGCCAAUGGCUCGCCAAUGUCAUUAUUAGCAUGUGUUUGAGGUUCUAGGUUCAGUUUUGAUAAUUGAUGGACGUAAAUUGAAUAAUUGAACCUAAGUUGGUUACGAUUCGUGGUUAGGUGAAAAUGUGAAUUGACGAUCCGACCGUUGGAUGGUAAUGAAAUUUUAGGAUGUUGUCCUAGAGGUAUAUUGUGGACCUCUGGAAGUUACGGAUUUGAAAUCUGAGUUGCAGAUCAUCCGGAUCGAACUACGUAGUGACGUGUCUUAUAUAAGUUAUGUAUUCGAUCGGCAGGAUUUCUGAGGUUGGAUUUGAUUAUUGUUCUAGGCACUGAUCAUCACGACGCCUUGAUGUACGGUGCUA
rnacentral:lncRNA from 1 species